AAAGAAAAGGAGUGGCGAACGGGUGAGUAACACGUGGGUAACCUGCCCAUCAGAAGGGGAUAACACUUGGAAACAGGUGCUAAUACCGUAUAACAAUCGAAACCGCAUGGUUUCGGUUUGAAAGGCGCUUUUGCGUCACUGAUGGAUGGACCCGCGGUGCAUUAGCUGGUUGGUGAGGUAACGGCUCACCAAGGCAACGAUGCAUAGCCGACCUGAGAGGGUGAUCGGCCACAUUGGGACUGAGACACGGCCCAAACUCCUACGGGAGGCAGCAGUAGGGAAUCUUCGGCAAUGGACGCAAGUCUGACCGAGCAACGCCGCGUGAGUGAAGAAGGUUUUCGGAUCGUAAAACUCUGUUGUUAGAGAAGAACAAGGAUGAGAGUAGAAUGUUCAUCCCUUGACGGUAUCUAACCAGAAAGCCACGGCUAACUACGUGCCAGCAGCCGCGGUAAUACGUAGGUGGCAAGCGUUGUCCGGAUUUAUUGGGCGUAAAGCGAGCGCAGGCGGUUUCUUAAGUCUGAUGUGAAAGCCCCCGGCUCAACCGGGGAGGGUCAUUGGAAACUGGGAAACUUGAGUGCAGAAGAGGAGAGUGGAAUUCCAUGUGUAGCGGUGAAAUGCGUAGAUAUAUGGAGGAACACCAGUGGCGAAGGCGACUCUCUGGUCUGUAACUGACGCUGAGGCUCGAAAGCGUGGGGAG
rnacentral:rRNA from 1 species